rnacentral:lncRNA from 1 species
AAGCUUUUAGUUGUUUUAUGACUUUUCCCCCUCCUGUUGCCAUAGAGGGGCUGUGAACUCAUUACUUAUAAAUUUAGCCUCCACCUGGUUUCCACUAAAGUCAGAAGGCUAGCAUCUUCACUCAGAGGUUUAAGUGCACACGGUAGGGCGUAGUUGACCUACUGCCUUCACCAUCUCCAUCUGCUUCUCUUUGCCUCCAUCCCCCAUGGCCACUGCCACCAAUGCCUGCC